CACGCUGAAGAGGCUUGAAGGAUUUUUUUGAGUUCUCCCAAUUUGUGGUUGCAUCAAGAGGAAGGCUUCCAAUAAAUGAAAUGAACUUAUAACCUUAUCUACGCAAGUUCCAAAAAGCAUAAGGUUGCUGAUCUUACCUCCCCAAGUUUCUAAAAAGCAAAAGGUGGCUCGCCCAAUGCACAACCUAACACCGGUAUUGGCAUUCCCCAAAAUAAGGAGGUUCGCCAAGCAUUAAGUGGUGUUUCUAUUAAUGUUCUCUUCAAUGAGGAAGAUGAUGACUUAGACCGGGAAAUUGACAAUUAUACGAGCCCCAAAUCAAUGCCUUGUAUGAUUGUGGAGAGUGUAGAUCCUUUGGUUGUCAAAUAAUCUUUUAAGAUUGAGGAUUCUGAUACGGCAGCUAGCAGGUUUGACUGGUAUAACUUUCUCCAAGAGUUGGAUAGAGAGGACGCCCUAUCCCUAAUAAGGCAAAAUGCUGGUGGUGGGGUUGACACUGCUGCCAUGUCAACCAAGACAACGCCAACUCCUACUCUAACAACCACUCUAAUGGUUGUUGUUACGUUAACUGUUGCAUCCCCUUAUGCCUUUACUAUGCUUAUUUCAACUAUGCUUAUUUCUCGAUCACUGUUCCUUAUGCCCUUACUACACUAGCUAUUGACACUCCUCCUUCAACUAUGCUUAUUUCUCUA